GGAUGAACGCUGGCGGCGUGCCUACUACAUGCAAGUCGAGCGAACAGACGAGGAGCUUGCUCCUCUGACGUUAGCGGCGGACGGGUGAGUAACACGUGGAUAACCUACCUAUAAGACUGGGAUAACUUCGGGAAACCGGAGCUAAUACCGGAUAAUAUAUUGAACCGCAUGGUUCAAUAGUGAAAGACGGUUUUGCUGUCACUUAUAGAUGGAUCCGCGCCGCAUUAGCUAGUUGGUAAGGUAACGGCUUACCAAGGCAACGAUGCGUAGCCGACCUGAGAGGGUGAUCGGCCACACUGGAACUGAGACACGGUCCAGACUCCUACGGGAGGCAGCAGUAGGGAAUCUUCCGCAAUGGGCGAAAGCUUGACGGAGCAACGCCGCGUGAGUGAUGAAGGUCUUCGGAUCGUAAAACUCUGUUAUUAGGGAGGAACAAAUGUGUAAGUAACUAUGCACGUCUUGACGGUACCUAAUCAGAAAGCCACGGCUAACUACGUG
rnacentral:rRNA from 1 species